rnacentral:rRNA from 1 species
UGGGGAAUAUUGCACAAUGGGCGAAAGCCUGAUGCAGCAACGCCGCGUGAGCGAUGAAGGCCUUCGGGUCGUAAAGCUCUGUCCUCAAGGAAGAUAAUGACGGUACUUGAGGAGGAAGCCCCGGCUAACCACGUGCCAGCAGCCGCGGUAAUACGUAGGGGCUAGCGUUAUCCGGAAUUACUGGGCGUAAAGGGUGCGUAGGUGGUUUCUUAAGUCAGAGGUGAAAGGCUACGGCUCAACCGUAGUAAGCCUUUGAAACUGGGAAACUUGAGUGCAGGAGAGGAGAGUGGAAUUCCUAGUGUAGCGGUGAA